GUGGGGAAUCUUGCGCAAUGGGCGAAAGCCUGACGCAGCCAUGCCGCGUGAAUGAUGAAGGUCUUAGGAUUGUAAAAUUCUUUCACCGGGGACGAUAAUGACGGUACCCGGAGAAGAAGCCCCGGCUAACUUCGUGCCAGCAGCCGCGGUAAUACGAAGGGGGCUAGCGUUGCUCGGAAUUACUGGGCGUAAAGGGCGCGUAGGCGGAUCGUUAAGUCAGGGGUGAAAUCCCAUAGCUCAACUCUGGAACUGCCCUUGAUACUGGCGAUCUUGAGUGUGAGAGAGGUAUGUGGAACUCCGAGUGUAGAGGUGAAAUUCGUAGAUAUUCGGAAGAACACCAGUGGCGAAGGCGACAUACUGGCUCAUUACUGACGCUGAGGCGCGAAAGCGUGGGGAGCAAACAGGAUUAGAAACCCUUGUAGUCC
rnacentral:rRNA from 1 species